rnacentral:rRNA from 1 species
UACGUAGGUGGCAAGCGUUAUCCGGAAUUAUUGGGCGUAAAGCGCUCGCAGGCGGUUUCUUAAGUCUGAUGUGAAAGCCCACGGCUCAACCGUGGAGGGUCAUUGGAAACUGGGAGACUUGAGUGCAGAAGAGGAGAGUGGAAUUCCACGUGUAGCGGUGAAAUGCGUAGAGAUGUGGAGGAACACCAGUGGCGAAGGCGACUCUCUGGUCUAUAACUGACGCUGAGGAGCGAAAGCGUGGGGAGCAAACAGG